rnacentral:rRNA from 1 species
UUGUUAAUACAUUGAUUAUGAAGAUUGAUUCUGUCUUUUGAAAUUUAUUUUUAUGGAUUAGCUUUUAUAUAAUAUUAAAUACUAGUUUUUGCUUGGUUUGUUCUUUGUCUUAAUGAUGGGGAUUAGUUUAAAUUGUAGUUUUUAGUUUUGGAUAUCAAAUAAUUUUGGAUUCAGUUAAUAUAUUUAGGAUUGUUCAAGGUUGUGCCAGCAAACGCGGUUAUACAAUCAAUCCAUGUUAAUUUUUUUGGUUAUUUAUUUAUUUGUUUGUGGUUGAAGAUUUAAGUUUAUUUAUAAGGUGAAAUUUAUAAUUGGAUUUAUAUUCUUUAGGUUGAAUAGAUUAUAAUAAGAUUAGGAUUAAAACUAGGAUUAGAUACCCUAUUAUUCUA